rnacentral:rRNA from 1 species
CUGCCAGUAGUCAUAUGCUUGUCUCAAAGAUUAAGCCAUGCAUGUCUCAGUACAAGCCAAAUUAAGGUGAAACCGCGAAAGGCUCAUUAAAUCAGUUAUGGUUCCUUAGAUCGUACCCACAAUUACUUGGAUAACUGUGGUAAUUCUAGAGCUAAUACAUGCAAACAGAGCUCCGACCGGAGACGGAAGGAGUGCUUUUAUUAGAUCAAAACCAAUCGGUGGCGAGUUCGCUCGUCAUCGUACAACUUGGUGACUCUGAAUAACUUUACGCUGAUCGCACGGUCUCGCACCGGCGACGCAUCUUUCAAAUGUCUGCCUUAUCAACUGUCGAUGGUAGGUUCUGCGCCUACCAUGGUUGUAACGGGUAACGGGGAAUCAGGGUUCGAUUCCGGAGAGGGAGCCUGAGAAACGGCUACCACAUCCAAGGAAGGCAGCAGGCGCGCAAAUUACCCACUCCCGGCACGGGGAGGUAGUGACGAAAAAUAACGAUACGGGACUCAUCCGAGGCCCCGUAAUCGGAAUGAGUACACUCUAAACCCUUUAACGAGGAUCAAUUGGAGGGCAAGUCUGGUGCCAGCAGCCGCGGUAAUUCC